UUUGGAUAACUGUGGUAAUCCUAGAGCUAAUACAUGCAAUCAAGUCCCGACCAGUUCUGCUGGGAAGGAUGCUUUUAUUAGAUCAAGACCAAUCGCCCGGCUUUGCCGAGCGUUUCCUUGGUGACUCUAGGUAACACAUCAGAUCGCAUGGUCUCGCACCGGCGACUUAUCUUUCAAAUGCCUGACUUAUCAACUGUCGAUGGUAGACUCUAUGUCUACCAUGGUUGUAACGGGUAACGGGGAAUCAGGGUUCGAUUCCGGAGAGGGAGCCUGAGAAACGGCUACCACAUCCAAGGAAGGCAGCAGGCACGCAAAUUACCCACUCCCGGCACGGGGAGGUAGUGACAAAAAAUAACGAUACGGGACUCAUAUGAGGCCCCGUAAUCGGAAUGAGUACACUUUAAAUCCUUUAACAAGGAUCCAUUGGAGGGCAAGUCUGGUGCCAGCAGCCGCGGUAAUUCCAGCUCCAAUAGCGUAUAUUAAAGUUGUUGCGGUUAAAAAGCUCGUAGUUGGUUCUGCGUGCUACGCUGUCGGUUCGCCGCCUGCCGGUGUAACUGGCAUGCCGUGGUAUGUCCUGUCGGUGGUGCGUGGGCGCCUUGUCUAGGAGGUCGCUCGCCUCGUAAGAGACGGUGCAACAGGCCGGAGGUUCAACCCACGCGCCUACUCUAUCCUACCUAGGUGCUCUUCACCGAGUGUCGAGGUAGGCCGACACGUUUACUUUGAACAAAUUAGAGUGCUCAAAGCAGGCUGAAAUUUCUGCCUGAAUAGUGGUGCAUGGAAUAAUGAAACAGGACCUUGGUUCUAUUUUGUUGGUUCUUAGGAACACAAGGUAAUGAUCAAUACGGACAGGCGGGGGCAUUCGUAUUGCGUCCUCCGAUGAGGCGGGGCCGGGAAACCAAAGCUUUUGGGUUCCGGGGGAAGUAUGGUUGCAAAGCUGAAACUUAAAGGAAUUGACGGAAGGGCACCACCAGGAGUGGAGCCUGCGGCUUAAUUUGACUCAACACGGGAAACCUCACCAGGCCAGGACAUUGGAAGGAUUGACAGAUUGAUAGCUCUUUCUUGAUUCAGUGGGUAGUGGUGCAUGGCCGUUCUUAGUUGGUGGAUCGAUUUGUCUGGUUAAUUCCGAUAACGAACGAGACUCUAGCCUAUUAACUAGGCGUUUUCCGGUGUCCCCGCCACCGGCGACAUUCAUUCUUCUUAAGGGGACAGGCGGCUUAUAGCCGCACGAGAUUGAGCAAUAACAGGUCUGUGAUGCCCUUAGAUGUCCUGGGCCGCACGCGCGCUACACUGAAGGAAUCAACGUGUGCCUCCCUGGCCGAAAGGCCCGGGUAAUCCGCUGAACCUCCUGCGUGCUAGGAAUUGGGGCUUGCAAUUGUUCCCCAUGAACGAGGAAUUCCCAGUAAGCGCGAGUCAUAAGCUCGCGUUGAUUACGUCCCUGCCCUUUGUACACACCGCCCGUCGCUACUACCGAUUGAAUGAUUUAGUGAGGUCUUCGGACUGGCGGUAAUCCCUAUCGACUCGUCGGUAUCGAUGAACGCUGGAAAGAUGACCAAACUUGAUCAUUUAGAGGAAGUAAAAGUCGUAACAAGGUUUCC
rnacentral:rRNA from 1 species